rnacentral:rRNA from 1 species
GUGGAUUAGAUACCCUGGUAGUCCACGCCGUAAACGAUGUCGAUUUGGAGGCUGUGUCCUUGAGACGUGGCUUCCGGAGCUAACGCGUUAAAUCGACCGCCUGGGGAGUACGGCCGCAAGGUUAAAACUCAAAUGAAUUGACGGGGGCCCGCACAAGCGGUGGAGCAUGUGGUUUAAUUCGAUGCAACGCGAAGAACCUUACCUGGCCUUGACAUGUCUGGAAUCCUGCAGAGAUGCGGGAGUGCCUUCGGGAAUCAGAACACAGGUGCUGCACGGCCGUCGACAACU